CGGGGCAAGAGCCAGGCC
rnacentral:snRNA from 1 species